GAAGAAAUCAUCUGCUUAGCUGUUCAAAGGAAUCCUUCCCACUGCUUGAUGGUUAAAAGAAGUCUGGCUCUGAGACACACCAACCACUCACAUGUCUGGUUGAACUCACCGGGACCUGUGAGUAGCACAUGACCCCCCUGUGAAGGUGUUGCUCGUUGCUGUGGGUGAAUUGUUCAGGGCAACAGAUGAAAAGGAUGAGCAAUUCCUUGCUGAAAAGGAUGAGCAAUUUUGAUGGGGAAAAGGACACCGAGUUGGCACUGAAAACUGGCACUCCAAGCUGCCCCUGUUUGGUGGGAACAAUGCUGGUGGAGAACUGGAGCCACCUCGCCGUUCCUUGUGUGUGUGGCACUGGCUGCAGUGGAGUUUUUUUGCCAGCACAGCGGAUGCAGAGCGAGGAGAAAAGGUGGAGGAGCUGCCAGAGGCUGCCUGGAUGUGAGCAGAGAGGAAGUGUGAGCCAUUCCACCCGCCUGCAGGAACCAGGCCUUCUCC